rnacentral:rRNA from 1 species
UACGGAGGGUGCAAGCGUUAUCCGGAUUUACUGGGUUUAAAGGGUGCGUAGGCGGGUUGUUAAGUCAGUGGUGAAAGAUUCGAGCUUAACUCGGAAACUGCCAUUGAUACUGAUGACCGUGAAUACAGUUGAGGUAGGCGGAAUGUGUCAUGUAGCGGUGAAAUGCUUAGAUAUGACACAGAACACCGAUUGCGAAGGCAGCUUGCUAAACUGUGAUUGACGCUGAGGCACGAAAGCGUGGGGAUCAAACAGG